rnacentral:misc_RNA from 1 species
AAGUCGUAACAAGGUUUCCGUAGGUGAACCUGCGGAAGGAUCAUUACAGAGAAUAUCGCCCUCAUGGGUGACUCUCCAACCCAAUGUUAUUCUAUCUUUGUUGCUUUGGCGAGCCGCCUUGGCCACCGGCUCACGCUGGUGAGUGCUCGCCAGAGGACCCAAAACUCUGAAUUAAAGUAUUGUCUGAGUACUAUAUAAUAGUUAAAACUUUCAACAACGGAUCUCUUGGUUCUG